rnacentral:rRNA from 1 species
UACAGAGGGGGCAAGCGUUGUUCGGAAUUACUGGGCGUAAAGGGCGCGUAGGCGGCCUUCUAAGUCGAACGUGAAAUCCCCGGGCUCAACCCGGGAACUGCGUCCGAUACUGGAAGGCUUGAAUCCGGGAGAGGGAUGCGGAAUUCCAGGUGUAGCGGUGAAAUGCGUAGAUAUCGGGAGGAACACCUGUGGCGAAAGCGGCGCACUGGACCACAACUGACGCUGAGGCGCGAAAGCAUGGGGAGCGAACAGG